UGCGUAGGCGGAUCAAUAAGUCAGUGGUGAAAUCUCUCGGCUCAACCGGGAAACUGCCAUUGAUACUGUUAAUCUUGAGUUCGGUUGAGGUAGGCGGAAUGUGUAAUGUAGCGGUGAAAUGCUUAGAUAUUACACAGAACACCAAUUGCGUAGGCAGCUUACUAGACCGACACUGACGCUGAGGCACGAAAGCGUGGGGAGCGAACAGGAUUAGAUACCCUGGUAGUCC
rnacentral:rRNA from 1 species